rnacentral:rRNA from 1 species
CAGCAGGCGCGAAAACUUUACAAUGCCGGCAACGGCGAUAAGGGAACCUCGAGUGCCAGGUUACAAAUCUGGCUGUCGUGAUGCCUAAAAAGCAUUGCAUAGCAAGGGCCGGGCAAGACCGGUGCCAGCCGCCGCGGUAACACCGGCGGCUCGAGUGGUAACCGUUAUUAUUGGGUCUAAAGGGUCUGUAGCCGGCCGGGUAAGUCUCUUGGGAAAUCUGGCAGCUUAACUGUCAGGCUUUCAGGAGAUACUGCCUGGCUCGAGGCCGGGAGAGGUGAGAGGUACUUCAGGGGUAGGGGUGAAAUCUUGUAAUCCUUGAAGGACCACCAGUGGCGAAGGCGUCUCACCAGAACGGACCUGACGGCAAGGGACGAAAGCUAGGGGCACGAACCGGAUUAGAUACCCGGGUAGUCCUAGCCGUAAACGAUACUCGCUAGGUGUCGGCCACGGUGCGACCGUGGUCGGUGCCGUAGGGAAGCCGUGAAGCGAGCCACCUGGGAAGUACGGCCGCAAGGCUGAAACUUAAAGGAAUUGGCGGGGGAGCACAAGGGCGAAUCGCG